rnacentral:rRNA from 1 species
UGAACGCUAGCGACAGGCCUAACACAUGCAAGUCAGGGGCAGCGCGGGAGAAGCUUGCUUUCCUGGCGGCGACCGGCGCACGGGUGCGUAACAGGUGUGCAAUCUGUCCAUAGUCGGGGGAUAGCCCAGCGAAAGCUGAAUUAACACUCCAUGUGAAUCGAAGCCGCAUGACUUUGAUUUGAAACGCAAGGACUAUGGGUGAGCACGCUUCUGAUUAGCUAGUUGGUGGGGUAACGGCUCACCAAGGCGACGAUCAGUAGGGGUUCUGAGAGGAAGGUCCCCCACAUUGGAACUGAGACACGGUCCAAACUCCUACGGGAGGCAGCAGUGAGGAAUAUUGGUCAAUGGGCGAGAGCCUGAACCAGCCAAGUCGCGUGAAAAGGAUGAAGGUUCUAUGGAUUGUAAACUUCUUUUGUCCGAGGGUAAAAAAGGCCACGUGUGGCUUCUUGCAAGUAUCGGACGAAUAAGCAUCGGCUAACUCCGUGCCAGCAGCCGC